UACAUGGGGUGCAAACGUUGCUCGGAAUUAUUGGGCGUAAAGCGCACGUAGGCGGUUUGUUAAGUCGGAUGUGAAAUCCCUCGGCUCAACUGAGGAAGUGCACCCGAAACUGGCAGGCUUGAGUACUAAAGAGGGUCGCGGAAUUCCCGGUGUAGAGGUGAAAUUCGUAGAUAUCGGGAGGAACACCGGUGGCGAAGGCGGCGACCUGGGUAGAUACGUGACGCUGAGGUGCGAAAGCGUGGGGAGCAAACAGG
rnacentral:rRNA from 1 species